AAAAAAAAAAUAAUAAUAAUAAUAAUUAUUAUUAUUAAUAAUAGAUAAUAAUGAAAAUAAUGACGAAAACAAGCGCUUUAGUUGAAUUUUUUUUAAUUUCACGAACAAUAGGUACAGUAAAAAAAAAAAAAAAAAAAACAAAUCCGAACAGAAUCUGAGUUUGUAGUAUUGUAACAAUUGUUGUUGUAAUAUUCCUGUUAAGUGUCUAGUCGAAAAUGUGUAACGUGUUAGACGGUCUAGUAUUAAUAUUAUUAUAGUGUAGAGUUACCAAAAUGACGUCGCUUUCGCUUACAAAGCAUAUUACGUAAAACAUAUAUAUCAGUUUUUUUUGUGGAAAAACGAAUAAUACACGAAAAAAAAUAACGAAGCGUAUAAAAUACCUAAUGUGAUCUUUUUUUCUUAAGGAAUAAAAACCAAAAAAAAAAAAAAACCAAAAAAAUAAACGCUUGACUCAAUCACUUGAAAAUCGCACAAAUUUUGUAACGAUGCAUUUUUAUUGGAAAACAACCAUUUAAACUCGUCCUAUACGCACUGUUAUUUUUAGAUUCAAAAUUUGUACUACUGAAAAAAAAAAUUAUCGAAAAAUCGUUUUGUUACACUUUUGAAUAUUGUUGAGAGUUUUAAGAUUUAGAAAAUAUUGUAAAAAAAUUGUUAAUUGAUGGAUGAUAAGUAUUGUGUAAACACCCUAUUACCUAUAAUUUUUUGCUUAAAGGGUUAACAAAAUAUUGUUUUUACGCAUACUUUUUAAGAGACGUUAUUAUUAUUAUUAUUAUUAUUGUUUCGGGGUAAAUUUAUACUAAAAAAAAAAAAUAAUAACCAAAUUAAUUUAAUUAUAUUGUUAUCUGCUGUAUCUGAGACAAGGACAACGCUGAAUAAUGUAAACAAAAUAUGUAUGCGACGUUUUUCGCACCGGCAUGUCCUUCCCUCUUUGGCGGUACGAAAAUUGUCGGAUAAUAUUGCCUACGAAUAUUUUUUAAUAAUGUACAUUUCAUAUUUUGCAAUAAUUUGUUUGUCUCUUUAAUAAAAAAAAAAAACGAGAAAAACACGCGUUUUACUGUUAUUUGAAACCGCAUUUAUUCCCUUCCCGUAUGUCCUGUAUAUAACUCAUUGGUAUGUUUUCUGCGCCUGCCGAAAACGCAUCACCCCCAUUAUUAAUUAGUGUUAUCCACGACGCCCCGUAUUAUUUAAGUUGAAACUAAAAUAUUAUGUACAAUGUUUUUAUCUUUUUACCGAAGUAUAUACAGGGCGAUCAACAAAACAUACUCGUUCCACGUCGAAACGAAAAAGCGGAAUACCUCGUUAAUUGGUUAACGAUAAUAUCAAUACUAAACUAAUACCACAUUGAUUUAUGGAAUUUUUAACAUAGGUUACCAUUUGAAAAUUAACAGCCCCGUAAAAUAAGGAGGAUAAAAAAGUACAAUGUAACAUUUUAGAGUUAUUAUAAUUUUUUGAGUGUUCUAAAAAGCUGAUUCCGG